rnacentral:rRNA from 1 species
AGGAUGAACGCUGGCGGCGUGCCUAAUACAUGCAAGUCGAGCGGUAAGGCUUUCACAGUUCUCAUCUCUCUCGUUUAAUCGAGACAAGGAGGUGCGAAGCGUGAAAGUACACGAGCGGCGGACGGCUGAGUAACACGUAGGAAUCUACCCCGAAGUGAGGGAUAACUGCUCGAAAGAGUAGCUAAUACCACAUGUGGUCCAAGGACUAAAGCUACGGCGCUUUGGGAAGAGCCUGCGUAAGAUUAGCUAGUUGGUGAGGUAAUAGCUCACCGAAGGCGACGAUCUUUAGCUGGUCUGAGAGGAUGAUCAGCCAGACUGGGACUGAGACACGGCCCAGACCUCCGUACGGGAGCAGCAGUAGGUAA